UACAGAGGUCUCAAGCGUUUGUUCGGAUUCAUUGGGCGUAAAGAGCGUGUAGGCGGCCAAGCAGGUCCGCUGUGAAAACUCGAGGCUCAACCUCGAGACGUCGGUGGAAACCGUUUGGCUAGAGUCCGGAAGAGGAGAGUGGAAUUCCCGGUGUAGCGGUGAAAUGCGUAGAUAUCUGGAGGAACACCGGUGGCGAAGGCGGCAUCCUGGACCAAAACUGACGCUGAAUAGCGAAAGCCAGGGGAGCAAACGGG
rnacentral:rRNA from 1 species